rnacentral:rRNA from 1 species
AUGCAACGGAUCAGAUUACCCAAAAACUUGUUCACCACUUCCAUUUGUCCAUGGGCAGUGCUAGAAAAUUUCAAUUCAAUGUUGAAUUGCUUCCACGAGGAGGAGGAGGAGGUCAGCCUUGAUGGGCAGGUGGUGCCUCAGAAGUACACCUUUAGAUAUUUGGGGUCUAUGCUGCAAAAGGAUGGGGAUAUCGAUGAAGAUGUGAAUCGUCGAAUCAAAGCUGGAUGGAUGAAGUGGCACCAAGCUUUUGGCAUUCUCUAUGACAAGAGAGUGCCACAAAAGCUAAAAGUUAGGUGUGGCAGAGAUGUGCAUGUUGAGAUGGAUGUGUGGCCACACAAGGACCGAGUCCGGAAUGAUGAUAUACGAGAUAGAGUUGGGGUAGCGCCGAUUGAAGAGAAGCUUGUCCAACAUCGUCUGAAAAGUUUGGUGUUAGAAUCACUAAAUCAAAGGAGCUGA